UACAGAGGUCUCAAGCGUUGUUCGGAUUCAUUGGGCGUAAAGGGUGCGUAGGCGGCGCGGUAAGUCGGGUGUGAAAUUUCGAGGCUUAACUUCGAAACUGCAUUCGAUACUGCCGUGCUUGAGGACUGGAGAGGAGACUGGAAUUUACGGUGUAGCGGUGAAAUGCGUAGAUAUCGUAAGGAAGACCAGUGGCGAAAGCGGCGCGCUGGACCUCUUCUGACGCUGAGGCGCGAAAGCCAGGGGAGCAAACGGG
rnacentral:rRNA from 1 species